GGGUGGAUUAGUGGCGAACGGGUGAGUAACACGUGAGUAACCUGCCCUUAACUCUGGGAUAAGCCUGGGAAACUGGGUCUAAUACCGGAUAGGAGCGUCCACCGCAUGGUGGGUGUUGGAAAGAUUUAUCGGUUUUGGAUGGACUCGCGGCCUAUCAGCUUGUUGGUGAGGUAAUGGCUCACCAAGGCGACGACGGGUAGCCGGCCUGAGAGGGUGACCGGCCACACUGGGACUGAGACACGGCCCAGACUCCUACGGGAGGCAGCAGUGGGGAAUAUUGCACAAUGGGCGCAAGCCUGAUGCAGCGACGCCGCGUGAGGGAUGACGGCCUUCGGGUUGUAAACCUCUUUCAGUAGGGAAGAAGCGAAAGUGACGGUACCUGCAGAAGAAGCACCGGCUAACUACGUGCCAGCAGCCGCGGUAAUACGUAGGGUGCGAGCGUUAUCCGGAAUUAUUGGGCGUAAAGAGCUCGUAGGCGGUUUGUCGCGUCUGUCGUGAAAGUCCGGGGCUUAACCCCGGAUCUGCGGUGGGUACGGGCAGACUAGAGUGCAGUA
rnacentral:rRNA from 1 species